rnacentral:piRNA from 2 species
CUGGAUCUCAUGGAGGCACUUCCC